CAAGCACUGUAUCCAUUUUAAUUCCCCAAACAGUCAGAUCCAAAAUUCAUUUACCAGUGAACACAGCUGUGUUUUGAUUCCUCUUGAUUGCCCUGCUAUGCUCAGUAAGGUAAUUGUUGGAGCAUUCUUGGUGUGAGUGGAGUUUCAUUUGCCAUGCAUGCUUUUCCUUUCAGUGGAUAUAUUAACCUAUGUCACAUGGAAGCUGAGUGGGCUGCCAAAAAACCGUGUGAUUGGAAGUGGCUGCAAUCUGGACACAGCCAGAUUCCGUUAUCUGAUGUCUGAGAAACUUGGGAUCCAUCCAAGCAGCUGCCAUGGCUGGAUCUUGGGAGAGCACGGUGAUUCCAGUGUGGCUGUUUGGAGCGGAAUGAACGUGGCAGGGGUUUGCCUCCAGGAGCUGAAUCCUGCCAUGGGAACUGACAACGAUCCUGAGAACUGGAAGGAGAUCCACAAA